rnacentral:lncRNA from 1 species
GAGAGGGCUCCUAAACUGGAUUUUGGAGGAACUGAAUUCAGAAUGAUCAAAGUACAACCAAAUGUACUUGAGACGUCCACAGCCAGUUCAGACAUGGGGCUGGAAUGAUGUGUCAAAGCCCACAGAAUGUAGAACACCCAGAGUGAACCCUAAUGUGAACAUGGACUUCGGAUGAUGAUGUCGGUUCAUCGAAAACACCCAGAGUGAACCCUAAUGUGAACAUGGACUUUGGAUGAUGAUGUGGGUUCAUCGAUUGUACCAAAAAUGCCUCUGUGGUACAGGAUGCUGAUGGUGCGGAAGGCCACGAGUGUGUGGAGCAGGGGUAUACGGGAACUCUCUGUACCUUCUGCUUAAAUUUGUU